rnacentral:rRNA from 1 species
UACGGAGGGUGCAAGCGUUAAUCGGAUUUACUGGGCGUAAAGCGUCCGUAGGUGGUCUGUUAAGUUGGAUGUGAAAGCCCAGGGCUCAACCUUGGAACUGCAUCCAAAACUAGCAAACUAGAGUAUGUGAGAGGGAGGUAGAAUUUCUGGUGUAGCGGUGAAAUGCGUAGAUAUAGGAAGGAACACCAGUGGCGAAGGCGGCACUCUGGACCAAUACUGACACUGAGGUGCGAAAGCGUGGGGAGCAAACAGGAUUAGAUACCCGCGUAGUCC